rnacentral:rRNA from 1 species
AGAGUUUGAUCCUGGCUCAGGACGAACGCUGGCGGCGUGCUUAACACAUGCAAGUCGAACGAUGAUGCCCUGCUUGCAGGGUGGAUUAGUGGCGAACGGGUGAGUAACAUGUGGGUGAUCUGCCUCGUACUUCGGGAUAAGCCUGGGAAACUGGGUCUAAUACCGGAUAGGACCUUCCUUUAGUGUGGAAGGUGGAAAGUUUUUUCGGUACGAGAUGAGCCCGCGGCCUAUCAGCUUGUUGGUGGGGUAAUGGCCUACCAAGGCGACGACGGGUAGCCGGCCUGAGAGGGUGCACGGCCACAUUGGGACUGAGACACGGCCCAAACUCCUACGGGAGGCAGCAGUGGGGAAUCUUGCACAAUGGGCGAAAGCCUGAUGCAGCGACGCCGCGUGGGGGAUGACGGCCUUCGGGUUGUAAACCCCUUUCGCUAGGGAAGAAGCCUUUCGGGGUGACGGUACCUGGAUAAGAAGCACCGGCUAACUACGUGCCAGCAGCCGCGGUAAUACGUAGGGUGCAAGCGUUGUCCGGAAUUACUGGGCGUAAAGAGCUCGUAGGUGGUUUGUCGCGUCGUCUGUGAAAUCCCGGGGCUUAACUCCGGGUCUGCAGGCGAUACGGGCAUAACUAGAGUGCUGUAGGGGAGACUGGAAUUCCUGGUGUAGCGGUGAAAUGCGCAGAUAUCAGGAGGAACACCGAUGGCGAAGGCAGGUCUCUGGGCAGUAACUGACGCUGAGGAGCGAAAGCAUGGGGAGCAAACAGAAUUAGAUACCCUGGUAGUCCAUGCCGUAAACGGUGGGCGCUAGGGGGUGGGGAUCUUUCUACCAAUUUCCGGGCCCUAACCUAACGCAUUAAGCGCCCCCGCGGGGGGAGAACGGCCCCAAAGGUUAAACUCCAAGGGACUUGACGGGGGCCCGCACAAGCGACGGAGCAUGAGGAUUAAUUCGAUGCAACGCGAAGAACCUUACCAGGGCUGGACAUACACCAGAUCGGGCUAGAGAUAGUCCUUCCAUAGUGGCUGGGGAACAGGUGGUGCAUGGUAGUCGUCAGCUCGGUGUCGUGAGAGAAGAAGAUAAGUCCCGCAACGAGCACAACCCUUUUCUUGUGUUGCCAGCACGUAAUGGUGGGGACUCGCGAGAGACUGCCGGGGUUAACUCGGAGGAAGGUGGGGAUGACGUCAAAUCAUCAUGCCCCUUAUGUCCAGGGCUUCACACAUGCUACAAUGGUCGAUACAGUGGGUUGCGAUACCGCGAGGUGGAGCUAAUCCCUUAAAGUCGGCCUCAGUUCGGAUAAGAGUCUGCAACUCGACUCCAUGAAGUCGGAGUCGCUAGUAAUCGCAGAUCAGCAACGCUGCGGUGA